UACGGAAGGGGCUAGCGGUGUUCGGAAUUACUGGGCGUAAAGCGCGCGUAGGCGGCUUACCAAGGUGGGGGUGAAAUCCCGGAGCUCAACUCCGGAACUGCCUUCAAAACUGGUAGGCUCGAGUCCGGAAGAGGGGCGUGGAAUUCCCAGUGUAGAGGUGAAAUUCGUAGAUAUUGGGAAGAACACCGGUGGCGAAGGCGGCGCCCUGGUCCGGUACUGACGCUGAGGCGCGAAAGCGUGGGGAGCAAACAGG
rnacentral:rRNA from 1 species